GUUGCAAUCUCUCCAUCUAAAGCAUGAUUUCUCUAACAAUGAGCGCUCUCCUCGCGAUGGGCUGAAGAGGAGCUGAGCUGCUGGCACGCAGGAGCCCACGCCAUGCUUCAGAAUGAGCUCAGCAAGUUAUUAUUCUGUGCAAGCACGAUGCCCUCCCAGGACAACACUACAGGACGGCAUUUGCUUGGAUAAAACAGUUUGCCAACACUUGCUAUUGAGGAAAUUUGUGGUCUGUGCGUUGGGGAAUGACUCAGUGGAGCCAGGAGCUGUCUGAAAGCCCCCACUGAGGAUUUGCUCUGAGUACAGCCUGCGGGGCUGGUGGGUGGGCAAACAAUGUGGCUCAGGAGCUCCUGUUCAAUAAAAUGAAUUUGUCU
rnacentral:lncRNA from 7 species